rnacentral:piRNA from 1 species
UGGCUCUUAUGAAGAUAGCCGAGCGCUUGU